rnacentral:rRNA from 1 species
GUUCUGGCUCAGGAUGAACGCUAGCUACAGGCUUAACACAUGCAAGUCGAGGGGCAGCAUGAACUUAGCUUGCUAAGUUUGAUGGCGACCGGCGCACGGGUGAGUAACACGUAUCCAACCUGCCGAUGACUCGGGGAUAGCCUUUCGAAAGAAAGAUUAAUACCCGAUGGCAUAGUUCUUCCGCAUGGUAGAACUAUUAAAGAAUUUCGGUCAUCGAUGGGGAUGCGUUCCAUUAGGUUGUUGGG